AGAGUUUGAUCCUGGCUCAGGAUGAACGCUGGCGGCGUGCUUAACACAUGCAAGUCGAACGGAAAUGAUGCGCUGAUGCGAUUUCGAUCAAAUCUUGUAUCAUUUUAGUGGCGGACGGCUGAGUAACGCGUGGGUAACCUGCCUUACACUGGGGGAUAACACUUAGAAAUAGGUGCUAAUACCGCAUAAGCGCACGAGACCGCAUGGUUUUGUGUGAAAAACUCCGGUGGUGUAAGAUGGACCCGCGUCUGAUUAGCUAGUUGGCGGGGUAACGGCCCACCAAGGCGACGAUCAGUAGCCGGCCUGAGAGGGUGGACGGCCACAUUGGGACUGAGACACGGCCCAAACUCCUACGGGAGGCAGCAGUGGGGAAUAUUGCACAAUGGGGGAAACCCUGAUGCAGCGACGCCGCGUGAGUGAAGAAGUAAUUCGUUAUGUAAAGCUCUAUCAGCAGGGAAGAAAAUGACGGUACCUGAGUAAGAAGCCCCGGCUAACUACGUGCCAGCAGCCGCGGUAAUACGUAGGGGGCAAGCGUUAUCCGGAUUUACUGGGUGUAAAGGGAGCGUAGACGGCAGUGCAAGUCUGGAGUGAAAGGCGGGGGCUCAACCCCCGGACUGCUCUGGAAACUGUACGGCUGGAGUGCAGGAGAGGUAAGUGGAAUUCCUAGUGUAGCGGUGAAAUGCGUAGAUAUUAGGAGGAACACCAGUGGCGAAGGCGGCUUACUGGACUGUAACUGACGUUGAGGCUCGAAAGCGUGGGGAGCAAAUAGGAUUAGAUACCCUAGUAGUCCACGCCGUAAACGAUGAGGACCAAGUGUUGGGGGUGAAACCUCAGUGCUGAAGUUAACGCAGUGAGUCCUCCGCCUGGGGAGUAUGCACGCAAGUGUGAAACUCAAAGGAAUUGACGGGGGCCCGCACAAGCGGAGGAACAUGUGGUUUAAUUCGAUGAUACGCGAGGAACCUUACCCGGGCUCAAACGGGAGUGGAAUGGACCAGAGACGGUUCAGCCUACGGGCCGCUUCCGAGGUGCUGCAUGGUUGUCGUCAGCUCGUGCCGUGAGGUGUCGGCUUAAGUGCCAUAACGAGCGCAACCCCCGCCGGCAGUUGCUAACGGGCAAUGCCGAGGACUCUGCCGGGACUGCCGCCGCAAGGCGUGAGGAAGGCGGGGAUGACGUCAAACCAGCACGGCCCUUACGUCCGGGGCGACACACGUGUUACAAUGGGCGGUACAGCGGGAAGCCAGGCGGCGACGCCGAGCGGAACCCGAAAGCCGUUCUCAGUUCGGAUCGGAGUCUGCAACCCGACUCCGUGAAGCUGGAUUCGCUAGUAAUCGCGCAUCAGCCAUGGCGCGGUGAAUACGUUCCCGGGCCUUGUACACACCGCCCGUCA
rnacentral:rRNA from 1 species